CGGCGAGUGAAGCGGCAAAGCUCAAAUUUGAAAUCUGGUACCUUCGGUGCCCGAGUUGUAAUUUGGAGAGGGCAACUUUGGGGCCGUUCCUUGUCUAUGUUCCUUGGAACAGGACGUCAUAGAGGGUGAGAAUCCCGUGUGGCGAGGAGUGCGGUUCUUUGUAAAGUGCCUUCGAAGAGUCGAGUUGUUUGGGAAUGCAGCUCUAAGUGGGUGGUAAAUUCCAUCUAAAGCUAAAUAUUGGCGAGAGACCGAUAGCGAACAAGUACAGUGAUGGAAAGAUGAAAAGAACUUUGAAAAGAGAGUGAAAAAGUACGUGAAAUUGUUGAAAGGGAAGGGCAUUUGAUCAGACAUGGUGUUUUGUGCCCUCUGCUCCUUGUGGGUAGGGGAAUCUCGCAUUUCACUGGGCCAGCAUCAGUUUUGGUGGCAGGAUAAAUCCAUAGGAAUGUAGCUUGCCUCGGUAAGUAUUAUAGCCUGUGGGAAUACUGCCAGCUGGGACUGAGGACUGCGACGUAAGUCAAGGAUGCUGGCAUAAUGGUUAUAUGCCGCCCGUCUUGAAUCACGGACCAAAAUU
rnacentral:rRNA from 1 species